CUAUGGUGAGUACAGCAGCAGAAUUUUUUUCUCUCCAGAUCUAUUUUGACCAUAAAUCUUUAUACAAAUGAUCAAUGUAUAUUGAAGUGAAUGAAAUACAAGUAUAAAAGUGAUUAAUUAGUUAUGUCCCCUCUGCAUAUUGACUCUGAAAUCUAAAAAAAACUUUGAAUUUGAUUUCUCUUCAUGCUCUGAUAUUUUCCAGCUCUUCUUCCUGUUCCUGUCAUCAUCAGAGACUCUUCACAAUGCUCUUCAUCAUCUUCAUCUUCAUCAGUGUCUAAAUGUUCACUGCUGUGUUCAGUGCUGAAUGUGAGUCAUGUGACUCUCUCCUGGUUCAAAGGAAACAGUUUCAUCUCCAGCAUCAGUGUGUCUGAUCUCAGCAUCAGUCUCUCUUUACCUCUGGAGGUGGAACAUCAGGAUAAAAACACCUACAGCUGUGUGCUGAACAACAACAUCAGCAACCAGACCAAACAUCUGGACAUCAGUCAACUCUGUCAGCCGUGUGCAGAUUUUGUCUCCAUUCAGACUGUUUCUCUGGUGUUUGGUCUGAUCUGUGUUGUUCUGGUCGUUGGGAUGUUUGGAUUAUUAGGGCUAUUAAAGGUUUUUGCUGAUAGAAGUAAGAAAAACGUACAACGCCCUGAAGAUACAGACAUACAGCAGCUUCUAAUGAGUCUUGAACAAC